AAACCAACAGGGAUUGCCCUAGUAACGGCGAGUGAAGCGGCAACAGCUCAAAUUUGAAAUCUGGCUCUCGGGCCCGAGUUGUAAUUUGUAGAGGAUACUUUUGAUGCGGUGCCUUCCGAGUUCCCUGGAACGGGACGCCAUAGAGGGUGAGAGCCCCGUCUGGUUGGAUGCCAAAUCUCUGUAAAGUUCCUUCAACGAGUCGAGUAGUUUGGGAAUGCUGCUCUAAAUGGGAGGUAUAUGUCUUCUAAAGCUAAAUACCGGCCAGAGACCGAUAGCGCACAAGUAGAGUGAUCGAAAGAUGAAAAGCACUUUGAAAAGAGAGUUAAAAAGUACGUGAAAUUGUUGAAAGGGAAGCGUUUAUGACCAGACUUGGGCUUGGUUAAUCAUCUGGGGUUCUCCCCAGUGCACUUUUCCAGUCCAGGCCAGCAUCAGUUUUCCCCGGGGGAUAAAGGCGGCGGGAAUGUGGCUCUCUUCGGGGAGUGUUAUAGCCCGUCGUGUAAUACCCUGGGGGGGACUGAGGUUCGCGCAUCUGCAAGGAUGCUGGCGUAAUGGUCAUCAACGAC
rnacentral:rRNA from 1 species